GACGAACGCUGGCGGCGUGCUUAACACAUGCAAGUCGAACGGUAAGGCCCUUCGGGGUACACGAGUGGCGAACGGGUGAGUAACACGUGGGUGAUCUGCCCUGCACUUCGGGAUAAGCCUGGGAAACUGGGUCUAAUACCGGAUAGGACCACUGCCGGCAUGGGUGGUGGGGGAAAGCGUUUGCGGUGUGGGAUGGGCCCGCGGCCUAUCAGCUUGUUGGUGGGGUGAUGGCGUACCAAGGCGACGACGGGUAGCCGGCCUGAGAGGGUGACCGGCCACACUGGGACUGAGAUACGGCCCAGACUCCUACGGGAGGCAGCAGUGGGGAAUAUUGCACAAUGGGCGCAAGCCUGAUGCAGCGACGCCGCGUGAGGGAUGACGGCCUUCGGGUUGUAAACCUCUUUCAGCACCGACGAAGCGCAAGUGACGGUAGGUACAGAAGAAGGACCGGCCAACUACGUGCCAGCCGCCGCCGUAA
rnacentral:rRNA from 1 species